UACGAAGGGGGCUAGCGUUGCUCGGAAUGACUGGGCGUAAAGCGCGCGUAGGCGGCUUUGUAAGUUAGAGGUGAAAGCCCGGGGCUCAACCCCGGAAUUGCCUUUAAGACUGCAUCGCUUGAAUCCGGGAGAGGUGAGUGGAAUUCCGAGUGUAGAGGUGAAAUUCGUAGAUAUUCGGAAGAACACCAGUGGCGAAGGCGGCUCACUGGACCGGCAUUGACGCUGAGGUGCGAAAGCGUGGGGAGCAAACAGG
rnacentral:rRNA from 1 species